GGUAAGAUGGCCGAGUGUCUAAGCGGUGGGCUGUAGACCUACAAACAGGGGUUUAAUUCCCUUUCUUGCCA
rnacentral:tRNA from 1 species